ensembl:snRNA U6 U6 spliceosomal RNA
GUGCUGUCUUCAGCAGCACAUAUACUAAAACUGGAAUGAUACAGAGAAGAUUAGCACGCAGCCCCUGUCCAAGGGGAGGGACUCGCAAAUUUGUGAAGCGUUCCAUAGUCUU